GAUGAACUCUAGCUACAGGCUUAACACAUGCAAGUCGAGGGGCAGCAUGGUCUUAGCUUGCUAAGGCCGAUGGCGACCGGCGCACGGGUGAGUAACACGUAUCCAACCUGCCGUCUACUCUUGGACAGCCUUCUGAAAGGAAGAUUAAUACAAGAUGGCAUCAUGAGUCCACAUGUUCACAUGAUUAAAGGUAUUCCGGUAGACGAUGGGGAUGCGUUCCAUUAGAUAGUAGGCGGGGUAACGGCCCACCUAGUCUUCGAUGGAUAGGGGUUCUGAGAGGAAGGUCCCCCACAUUGGAACUGAGACACGGUCCAAACUCCUACGGGAGGCGGCAGUGAGGAAUAUUGGUCAAUGGGCGAGAGCCUGAACCAGCCAAGUAGCGUGAAGGAUGACUGCCCUAUGGGUUGUAAACUUCUUUUAUAAAGGAAUAAAGUCGGGUAUGCAUACCCGUUUGCAUGUACUUUAUGAAUAAGGAUCGGCUAACUCCGUGCCAGCAGCCGCGGUAAUACGGAGGAUCCGAGCGUUAUCCGGAUUUAUUGGGUUUAAAGGGAGCGUAGAUGGAUGUUUAAGUCAGUUGUGAAAGUUUGCGGCUCAACCGUAAAAUUGCAGUUGAUACUGGAUAUCUUGAGUGCAGUUGAGGCAGGCGGAAUUCGUGGUGUAGCGGUGAAAUGCUUAGAUAUCACGAAGAACUCCGAUUGCGAAGGCAGCCUGCUAAGCUGCAACUGACAUUGAGGCUCGAAAGUGUGGGUAUCAAACAGGAUUAGAUACCCUGGUAGUCCACACGGUAAACGAUGAAUACUCGCUGUUUGCGAUAUACAGCAAGCGGCCAAGCGAAAGCGUUAAGUAUUCCACCUGGGGAGUACGCCGGCAACGGUGAAACUCAAAGGAAUUGACGGGGGCCCGCACAAGCGGAGGAACAUGUGGUUUAAUUCGAUGAUACGCGAGGAACCUUACCCGGGCUUAAAUCGCAGAUGAAUUACGGUGAAAGCCGUAAGCCGCAAGGCAUCUGUGAAGGUGCUGCAUGGUUGUCGUCAGCUCGUGCCGUGAGGUGUCGGCUUAAGUGCCAUAACGAGCGCAACCCUUGUUGUCAGUUACUAACAGGUUCUGCUGAGGACUCUGACAAGACUGCCAUCGUAAGAUGUGAGGAAGGUGGGGAUGACGUCAAAUCAGCACGGCCCUUACGUCCGGGGCUACACACGUGUUACAAUGGGGGGUACAGAGGGCCGCUACCACGCGAGUGGAUGCCAAUCCCCAAAACCUCUCUCAGUUCGGACUGGAGUCUGCAACCCGACUCCACGAAGCUGGAUUCGCUAGUAAUCGCGCAUCAGCCACGGCGCGGUGAAUACGUUCCCGGGCCU
rnacentral:rRNA from 1 species